UACGAAGGGGGCUAGCGUUGCUCGGAAUCACUGGGCGUAAAGGGUGCGUAGGCGGGUCUUUUAAGUCAGGGGUGAAAUCCUGGAGCUCAACUCCAGAACUGCCUUUGAUACUGAGGAUCUUGAGUUCGGGAGAGGUGAGUGGAACUGCGAGUGUAGAGGUGAAAUUCGUAGAUAUUCGGAAGAACACCAGUGGCGAAGGCGGCUCACUGGACCGGUAUUGACGCUGAGGUGCGAAAGCGUGGGGAGCAAACAGGG
rnacentral:rRNA from 1 species